rnacentral:tRNA from 1 species
UGGACAGUGGUGUAAAGGAUAACACACUCAAUGUAAUUUGAGAGACUGCUGGUUCAAAUCCAGUCUGUCCAA